CCUACGGGAGGCAGCAGUGGGGAAUAUUGCACAAUGGGCGCAAGCCUGAUGCAGCCAUGCCGCGUGUAUGAAGAAGGCCUUCGGGUUGUAAAGUACUUUCAGUCGUGAGGAAGGUGUUAAGGUUAAUAACCUUAGCAAUUGACGUUAGCGACAGAAGAAGCACCGGCUAACUCCGUGCCAGCAGCCGCGGUAAUACGGAGGGUGCGAGCGUUAAUCGGAAUUACUGGGCGUAAAGGGCACGCAGGCGGUUAAUUAGGUUCGAUGUGAAUUCCCCGGGCUUAACCUGGGAAUGGCAUACAAGACUGGUUGGCUAGAGUCUUGUAGAGGAGUGUAGAAUUCCAUGUGUAGCGGUGAAAUGCGUAGAGAUGUGUAGGAAUACCGGUGGCGAAGGCGGGCGCCGAGACAAAGACUGACGCUCAUGUGCGAAAGCGUGAGGAGCAAACAGGAUUAGAUACCCGGGUAGUC
rnacentral:rRNA from 1 species